UGAUGCGGUCAUACCCAGCACUAACGCACUGGAUCUCAUCAGAACUCAGAAUUUAAGCGUGCUUGGGCGAGAGUAGUACUAGGAUGCGUGACCUCCUGAGAAGUCCUCGUGUUGCAUUCU
rnacentral:rRNA from 1 species